GACGAACGCUGGCGGCGUGCUUAACACAUGCAAGUCGAACGGAAAGGCCCUGCUUGCAGGGUACUCGAGUGGCGAACGGGUGAGUAACACGUGGGUGAUCUGCCCUGCACUUCGGGAUAAGCCUGGGAAACUGGGUCUAAUACCGGAUAGGAGCCAUUUUUAGUGUGUUGGUUGGAAAGUUUUUUCGGUGUGGGAUGAGCUCGCGGCCUAUCAGCUUGUUGGUGGGGUAAUGGCCUACCAAGGCGGCGCCGGGUAGCCGGCCUGGGAGGGUGGACGGCCACAUUGGGACUGAGAUACGGCCCAGACUCCUACGGGAGGCAGCAGUGGGGAAUAUUGCACAAUGGGCGCAAGCCUGAUGCAGCGACGCCGCGUGGGGGAUGACGGCCUUCGGGUUGUAAACUCCUUUCGCUAGGGACGAAGCUUUUUGUGACGGUACCUAGAUAAGAAGCACCGGCUAACUACGUG
rnacentral:rRNA from 1 species